rnacentral:rRNA from 1 species
GACGAACGCUGGCGGCGUGCUUAACACAUGCAAGUCGAACGAAGAGCGAUGGAAGCUUGCUUCUAUCAAUCUUAGUGGCGAACGGGUGAGUAACGCGUAAUCAACCUGCCCUUCAGAGGGGGACAACAGUUGGAAACGACUGCUAAUACCGCAUACGAUCUAACCUCGGCAUCGAGGAUAGAUGAAAGGUGGCCUCUACAUGUAAGCUAUCACUGAAGGAGGGGAUUGCGUCUGAUUAGCUAGUUGGAGGGGUAACGGCCCACCAAGGCGAUGAUCAGUAGCCGGUCUGAGAGGAUGAACGGCCACAUUGGGACUGAGACACGGCCCGGACUCCUACGGGAGGCAGCAGUGGGGAAUCUUCCGCAAUGGACGAAAGUCUGACGGAGCAACGCCGCGUGAGUGAUGACGGCCUUCGGGUUGUAAAGCUCUGUUAAUCGGGACGAAAGGCCUUCUUGCGAAUAGUGAGAAGGAUUGACGGUACCGGAAUAGAAAGCCACGGCUAACUACGUG